GAUGACAGGUCCAGGUCCUCACCUGCCAAGUCCCCUCGAGCCCAGUGGGAACAGCAGAGCGGGGCCAGCCUGAGGCGACAGAGUGGGAGAAUGACGCAUAUCAGGCAGGGAGCACCUUCUCCGCUGCAAUUCCUCGUUCCAUCAUCGCCUCACCAUUUUCCCAAACCGGUGGCAACAAUGGGCCAGCGCGGUUGGGUUUCCUGGUCAGGGAACUGAAUGUUACAGAACCUGCUCUGGAUCACCCGGCGGAAGAAUCAAGCGGCACUUGGGCAUCUUGGAAGGCAGGAGGUUUAUUUCACAUCAUUGGGCUCAGAGGAGAUUGUUCUCCAGAGGUCUGAGCCCGGAGCGCCGGAGCACAAGCAUGGGGGACAAUUUAUAGUCUGUUACUUCCGCAUUAGUAGUAAUUUGGUGCGCAUGCGCAACAAGCAAGGUAAGAAGAAGAACCCGGAAGGGGAGUCUUCGGGUGGGGACUGGAAUUUCCCUACCAGUCCUGUCGGCCAUUUUAUCAUUUUUCCCCACCAGACUGACUAGAAGACAGAGGCCACUGACAGAGAUUUGGGUCUUCGCUGAGACACUGGAAGAUUUGACAGCAGUGGACCCACAGCAGCGAUUGGUUAGAGUGGGGCAGUCUCAGUGUGAAGAGUCUGAUUUGUAUAUGCCAGGUCUCAAGACGCUUGCCUGCGGAUGAGCUCUUUCAACUGUGCCAGUCUGUCACUUCUUAGUGCUUCCCGG